rnacentral:rRNA from 2 species
AGUAUAGAUCAUGCAGUCGAGCGAAUGGAUUAAGAGCUUGCUCUUAUGAAGUUAGCGGCGGACGGGUGAGUAACACGUGGGUAACCUGCCCAUAAGACUGGGAUAACUCCGGGAAACCGGGGCUAAUACCGGAUAACAUUUUGAACUGCAUGGUUCGAAAUUGAAAGGCGGCUUCGGCUGUCACUUAUGGAUGGACCCGCGUCGCAUUAGCUAGUUGGUGAGGUAACGGCUCACCAAGGCAACGAUGCGUAGCCGACCUGAGAGGGUGAUCGGCCACACUGGGACUGAGACACGGCCCAGACUCCUACGGGAGGCAGCAGUAGGGAAUCUUCCGCAAUGGACGAAAGUCUGACGGAGCAACGCCGCGUGAGUGAUGAAGGCUUUCGGGUCGUAAAACUCUGUUGUUAGGGAAGAACAAGUGCUAGUUGAAUAAGCUGGCACCUUGACGGUACCUAACCAGAAAGCCACGGCUAACUACGUGCCAGCAGCCGCGGUAAUACGUAGGUGGCAAGCGUUAUCCGGAAUUAUUGGGCGUAAAGCGCGCGCAGGUGGUUUCUUAAGUCUGAUGUGAAAGCCCACGGCUCAACCGUGGAGGGUCAUUGGAAACUGGGAGACUUGAGUGCAGAAGAGGAAAGUGGAAUUCCAUGUGUAGCGGUGAAAUGCGUAGAGAUAUGGAGGAACACCAGUGGCGAAGGCGACUUUCUGGUCUGUAACUGACACUGAGGCGCGAAAGCGUGGGGAGCAAACAGGAUUAGAUACCCUGGUAGUCCACGCCGUAAACGAUGAGUGCUAAGUGUUAGAGGGUUUCCGCCCUUUAGUGCUGAAGUUAACGCAUUAAGCACUCCGCCUGGGGAGUACGGCCGCAAGGCUGAAACUCAAGGAAUUGACGGGGGCCCGCACAAGCGGUGGAGCAUGUGGUUUUAUUCGAAGCAACGCGAAGACCUUACCAGGUCUUGACAUCCUCUGGAAACCUAGAGAUAGGGCUUCCUCCUUCCGGAGCAGAUGACAGGUGGGUGCAUGGCUGUUCGUCAGCUCUGUCCGUGAAAUGUUGGGUAAAGUCCCGCAACGAGCGCACCCUUGAUCCUACUGCCAUCAUUAAGUUGGUAGCUCUAGGUGACUGACCGUGACGACCGUAGGAAGUGGGGAUACGUCAUCAUCAUGUCCAUAUGACUUUGCGUACACGCGCUGGUCUACAAUAGGUGA